UACAGAGGUCCCGAGCGUUGUUCGGAUUCACUGGGCGUAAAGGGUGCGUAGGUGGUGAGGUAAGUCGGAUGUGAAAUCUCCGGGCUCAACCCGGAAAUGGCAUUGGAAACUACCUUGCUGGAGGAUUUGAGGGGGGAUUGGAAUACUUGGUGUAGCAGUGAAAUGCGUAGAUAUCAAGUGGAACACCAGUGGCGAAGGCGAAUCCCUGGAAAAUACCUGACACUGAGGCACGAAA
rnacentral:rRNA from 1 species